rnacentral:rRNA from 1 species
AGUGAACGCUGGCGGUAGGCCUAACACAUGCAAGUCGAACGGCAGCACAGUAAGAGCUUGCUCUUACGGGUGGCGAGUGGCGGACGGGUGAGGAAUACAUCGGAAUCUACUUUUUCGUGGGGGAUAACGUAGGGAAACUUACGCUAAUACCGCAUACGACCUACGGGUGAAAGCAGGGGAUCUUCGGACCUUGCGCGAUUGAAUGAGCCGAUGUCGGAUUAGCUAGUUGGCGGGGUAAAGGCCCACCAAGGCGACGAUCCGCAGCUGGUCUGAGAGGAUGAUCAGCCACACUGGAACUGGGACACGGUCCAGACUCCUACGGGAGGCAGCAGUGGGGAAUAUUGGACAAUGGGCGCAAGCCUGAUCCAGCCAUACCGCGUGGGUGAAGAAGGCCUUCGGGUUGUAAAGCCCUUUUGUUGGGAAAGAAAAGCAGCAGGUUAAUACCCCGCUGUUCUGACGGUACCCAAAGAAUAAGCACCGGCUAACUUCGUG